GGAGCUGUGGGUGAGUGGUUUAAACCAGGACAUUGCUAAUGUCCCGUUCGGGUAAAACUGAACCGUCGGUUCGAAUCCGACCGGCUCCGCCA
rnacentral:tRNA from 1 species